UGGAAAGUCAAGAUGUAGAAAUUGCUCCAGGUGUUGGGGCCCUGAAAGUGAAAUAUCAUCGAAAUGUCUUCAGGUGAGUCAACACAUGACUGAUCAGGGCUUAACGCCAUCAGAGCAACUGCUCAACAGAGAUGAAAUGGACUCUAUAAUGGUGGAGAGCUCAAUAGAUGGGAUCUUGCAGUGGGCUUUCCACAACAUUUCACAUCCUCUUUCUGAGUCUCAAGGC